rnacentral:rRNA from 1 species
CCUUUGUUGCCAGCGGUCCGGCCGGGAACUCAAAGGAGACUGCCAGUGAUAAACUGGAGGAAGGUGGGGAUGACGUCAAGUCAUCAUGGCCCUUACGACCAGGGCUACACACGUGCUACAAUGGCAUAUACAAAGAGAAGCGACCUCGCGAGAGCAAGCGGACCUCAUAAAGUAUGUCGUAGUCCGGAUUGGAGUCUGCAACUCGACUCCAUGAAGUCGGAAUCGCUAGUAAUCGUAGAUCAGAAUGCUACGGUGAAUACGUUCCCGGGCCUUGUACACACCGCCCGUCACACCAUGGGAGUGGGUUGCAAAAGAAGUAGGUAGCUUAACCUUCGGGAGGGCGCUUACCACUUUGUGAUUCAUGACUGGGGUGAAGUCGUAACAAGGUAACCGUAGGGGAACCUGCGGUUGGAUCACCUCCUUA